rnacentral:lncRNA from 1 species
UCUAGGUUCAUCAUCGCAUGUAACUUUUACUCUGCACGGCUCAUCAAAAGGGAACUUUAUAAUCAAAAGCGCUUACCCGCUUCGCUUAUUUCAUUAGAAAUAAACUUAGCCGGAAAUGUGAAUCAACCAGGAUUCGAACUGGGACCUCGGGUACCAACCAUCAAGUCCUUUGCCAUUUACGCUAGGGACGAUCGGUUAAUCAACACCAAUUUUAAUUU